GGAGUUGUGGCUCAGUGGUAGAGUGCUCACCUAAUGUGUGCAAGGUCCUGGGUUCAAUCCUCAGCACCA
rnacentral:tRNA from 1 species